GGUUUGUCUGCAUAAAAAUGAACAACAUAAUGUGAAAAUAUCAAAGAACCACAUACAAUUUAUUUUUAUCUACCUAUUCGGUUAUUACAGUUAUAAACAUGUAUAGCGUAUUUAUUGUUCGAAGAAAAUAUCAAAUAAAAAGUUUUGAGAAAUUGUAGGAUAAAUGAGUACAAUAAUAAUAAUUUAAUAUAAGGAGCAGUGUGGCGCAGUAUUUAAACUCAGUUGCUUACGUGCUUUGAGUGUACGUACCGCCCAGUAUUGCUCCCUUCCGGAUGGUCACCCAGUCGUGAUUUUUAGCAACAAGUCCUUGUCACACAAAUAUAAACACGUGUUCAAAAUUCCCCCCCCCCUCCCCCAGGAAUCGUGUAGAAACUUACAAUCAUCAAAUGGCCAAUGUAAUGUACCUAUACCUAAUGAAAAAGUAUUUAAUUCCUGUAUGAGGCAUCCACAAUAGAUAUACCUCCCGCUAACAGAGAGUAUGUUCUCUGCUACAUGUAAAGAUUGUCAAAUAGUUACGAAAUUUAAUAAUAUUAGUUUUUACCACAAAUUGUCCCUCUACAUGACUUCUUUCUUAUAUCUCAACAUUUCGUCAUAUAAUCACAAUACAAGGCAUUGCACAUUUGCACUAACUGUAUGGCUGGGACCGAAACUAUCAUAUGGUGCGUAACCUAACCUAACCCCGAAGUGUAACCUUAAAAUUGAUUUUCUAAAUAAAUAUUAUUUAUAUUCAUAUAUUUAUUUCAUCCUACCUAUUAUUUCUAUUUUCUUUGAUUUAACUAGCGAAUAUCAUACUUUCACACCAGCUGAGAAUAGUCGGUAAUUCAUUUUACAUUCUUCCGCUACCAGUCUAAAUGUGUAAUUUGAAUAAUUUAAAACAAACAACAACUAUACAUAAUAAUAUUUAAAUUGUUAUGCUGCCAUGAACGAAUUAUCUAUCUAUUUUAAAUUCCUAAUCAAUAUUACAUGUAUAUGUAUCAACAAUCAAUUAUGCAAUCAAAUAAUCAAUAUUAUCAGUAUUGAUCGAACGAAGAGUUUUUACUUCCAAAAAGAUAGGGUAUUAUGUAAUAGGUAUAUGCUCAUAUUGAAUAAUCGUAAUAGACAGUUUACUAAACUACAACACGAUACCUACACGAAUGACAAGAUCUUGAAUCCUGAAUAAAACAGAAAAGUAAAAUCAAUACUGUAAGACGACUAAAAAUCGAAUGCACUAGAUCAAAGAAUUUGGUUUUCUAAUGGCAAAACAAGAUUCACCAAUAUAUUAUGUGAAACCUACGCAGCGGAGUAACCUUUACUAUCCAACAAAAUGGCACAUGUACCUAACCGGAAGAAAUGGACAAUUAAUGCAUAAUACUUAUUUUUAUGAAAAAACUAAAAAGACAAUUUUCAGUCUGUGAUAAAAAAAAAAAACAACGGUAUAAACUGCGUGUGGGAAUUACAAUGGUUGUAGAAUGGGCCUCUAGUGAGUGACAUAAUUAAUUCAGAUUGAAAUGUAAAAUAAAUAUAGCACCUUGAAUGCGGUUCUGGGACCGGAUCCCUAAAAAAACUGAAGCGUUAGGUUAAAAAAAAAAACUUAACUGUACGACACAUCAAUCUAAAGAAAACAAUUAUGUUAUAAAGAAAUAAAAAAAAACUACGAUCACUUUUUAAGGUUCUUAAAGUUGAAUCAUUAACUUCACAGACCACCAACAUUCAGCUGGUGAAUAAAGUUAAAAUUAUUAAGGAGAUUUUUGUAUUAUAUAAUUCUUAAUAGUACUAUGUUUUAUGCUUCUACCCUUAAAUGUUAUCGGAUUUACCUCGGUUUUGAGUCGAGAAGAUUACCAAGCGUGUCGCAGAUACCUAUACGCUAGUUUUUUUUUUUCACAGCAGAAUAUUACUACAAUCAAUGGGAUGUAAAAGCGUAGUAUUAAAUCGAAAAAUAAUUUGUGGUUUGUGUUGUAAGUGGUACCUACGUAUUAAUAACCUAUAUAUAAUUUUUUUCCUAAAUUAUUGUCCAAUACGAGGAAAAUUUAAUACAAUUUAUUGUUUAAAUACAAGCAACUUAUUUAGCUGCUGUUGUACGCAAAAUGUAAUGAAAAAUGAUAAGAGCAUAAUAAUUGUAAAGUGUAGUAUUGCCAGACACGAGCUACAUGAAAUUUAAUAUCAUAAUAUGAAUAGCACGUAUAUACGUUAAAAUAUAAGGUAAUAGACAAAGAAAUGAGAAUAUAUAUAGGUAUAUUGAAAUGUUUUUAGUUUAGAUGUAAUACACUAUUGAUUAUUAUAGACAUUGGUUUGAAUAUAAAUAUGAGAUAUUCUAUAGGUGUCAUUGUGUCAAUGUGUCAUACUUACUGGAAAGUGAUAGUAAUAAUAUAAAAAGAUAAUAAUGUUAUCGUGAUGAUAUAGAAAAAAACAUGACGUCGAUUCAAUAUAAAACGGUAUUGUUUGGCUUUAAAAAUGUUUUAACUAAACGUGCUGAUAGUGAGUUUCUAGACAAUUUUCAAAUAUAUGCAUAUUCUGUUUAUGUUUAUUAACAUUUAUUUAAAAUUUGAUUGCAGUAUUCCGUCUAAUAUAAUAUACUACAUUAGGAAUACAGUUGUCACUUUAUUUAUUAAUUACUACUAUUUGUACAGUGGCCAAUAUUCACACAUCGUUAUACUAUUUAUUAAACAGACAAAAGUACAAAAAAAAUUUAAAUCAUGAAAAAUAUGGUAAUUCGAACCUAUAGUUAUAGAGCAAAUCACUAGUACCUACUUAUAUUUCACAUAAAAUUAUCAUAAAAAUAAACGCGUUUACCAAUUACCAAACAUUGAAAUAAUUAAAACCGAAAGAAAAGGGCCCUAAUUCCUAGCACAAUAAUUAUGCACUUACACUAAAUACUGAUUACGUUAUUAUUAUUAUUAUUAUUAUUGCGGUAUAUUAAACGGUUUUCACAAAUAUUGUAAUUCGUAGUCGUGUAGUAGCGUCGUAACUGCUAUCAAUAAUAAUUCCAACGAUUCUCGGUAAAAGUAUGAAGAAAAUUUCCUAUAAUUCGAAUAAUAUUAUAAUAUAGUAACAUAAUAUUAAAACGAUAGAAUUCGUGUUGUUGAACACGUGUUACCUACGACUACUACGCGAGACGACCUUGUAGAGUAAAAAACAAACAAACAAAAAUCGGACGAAAAACACGAGUAGGUACAUCACAUGGUACAUAUAUUACAUAAUAUCUCAUGUCAACACUCUUUACACCAUUUGUAUAUUAUUGUGUGUCUGGUUGAAGAGGUAACUCUUAGCGAUUAAAAGCUGUGUAUCUACUUUACGAGUGUGCAGAGAAACGAUCGUUUAGAUCAACUCUGCGAAAACAAGGGUACGCCACUGGUACGUCAGUAUCUGUGUUGUGAUACGACCACUAAGAAAAUGUAAACGACCACUCGACGGAGAGCGGUGUGAAAACGGACUGUGACGUACACUGGACCAGAAGAGACCGAAAGAAUCCCAAAAACCGGUCAACAGGAUAAUACUUAUUAAUUAUAUUAUAGACAACGGGGAAAAAAAAAAUAAUAUUAUGAUUGUACGUACCUACCUCUACGAAAUUAAAUACUAUGCGUAUCGCAUGUUCACGAGGAACGUCAUGAAAAUAAUAUUUUAUCUGGGUACCUAUAUAUACUCGAGUAAAUUACGCUGUAAUUAUUUUUAUGUACCUGCAGUAAUUAUAAUCACGUGGUUUCAUCGGUAUUUUAUAUUUUUUUUAUUAGCAAAUUUGCUUUGUAA